rnacentral:rRNA from 1 species
ACGAGUUUCGAUCCUGCUCAGACGACGCUGCGGCGUGCCUAACACAUGCAAGUCGAGCGAUGCGAUCCUUCGGGAUCAAUUAGCGGCGGACGGGUGAGUAACACGUGGGUAACCUGCCUCAAAGAGGGGAAUAGCCUCCCGAAAGGGAGAUUAAUACCGCAUAAUAUGUUUUGGUCACAUGGCCUUAACAUCAAGGGAUUUCUUCGGAAAUCCACUUUGAGAUGGACCCGCGGCGCAUUAGCUAGUUGGUGAGGUAACGGCUCACCAAGGCGACGAUGCGUAGCCGACCUGAGAGGGUGAUCGGCCACAUUGGAACUGAGACACGGUCCAGACUCCUACGGGAGGCAGCAGUGGGGAAUAUUGCGCAAUGGGGGAAACCCUGACGCAGCAACGCCGCGCGAAUGAUGAAGGCCUUCGGGUUGUAAAGUUCUGUCUUCUGGGACGAUAAUGACGGUACCAGAGGAGGAAGCCACGGCUAACUACGUG